UGUGCAAGUAAUAGCAGAAUGAAAACCAAUCUAUGCACAAGUGCAGACGGCAUAAACAAUGCCAAGUGCAUUUUACAGCGAUCAUAUGUACAGUUACUUUUAUAAAAAGCACUGGCAUAAAUACUGCUUUAUACAACGUCGCAAAGCCAGCAAAAGUUUCUACAAUACAUAUACAUUCCUUCAUAAGCAAGUCACCUUUUCAAUGACACCACUAUACACAGGAAAACAAAAAAGCAGUCAUACACACUUCGUUAUGCAUUACACCAUGCCCCUAAGAACCUUUGAUGCAAUUUUGCAUAUGAAGUAUGCAGCGAAAGAAAACAAUUAUACCAAUAGAAAGUGGACAUUUAUAAUACAAUGUGAGAGUCAUUUUAGUUACAUUUGGUAAAAGCAUUCUCAAACCUGAUGCAGUACACUAGCAGUACAGCCCAUUUCGAGUGCAUAGGACAAAACUAUAUUUCUGAAUUUCGUGAGUACACAACUACACGUGCAGUGAUGUGCUACACAGCACAUCAACGUUAAUCUAGAAGGGCCACAUAAAGCAAGAACCUUUUGAAGCAACAACAAAACUGCGUGCCUGUCACAUUAGCUGCAUGCACACAAUGGAAUAAGACACCUGUUGUAUGUACACAAAUUGCACGUGAACAAAACAGUGGCAUCUAGGAACUACAAUGCAAUAAAGAAAACAUCAGCAUUCUUAUAAUUCUGAUACGGGAAAGUCCUGACAAAUACAAAAUAUGUAAACACUUGUGUGAUGUUUCCUUCCAUAUCUAGCUCAAACUAUCAGUUCCAAGGGCUUUGUGCAUUCCUGCCUCCACUAGUAAUAUGUCAUAUUAGCUAGCUCAAACUAUCAGUUCCAAGGGCUUUGUGCAUUCCUGCCUCCACUAGUAAUAUGUCAUAUUAGCACCAUCAUGCAAACAUCAACUGAACUGGCCAAGGAAAGGCCAAGGCAUCAUUUAUAGCAAGGUUUGCACAAUAACAGGACCACUAAGCAUUGCAAGUACAUUGCUCGUGGAUUCCUUACGGGAGGCAAGAAAAUCUCAUGCAUGAUCUGCUGAGCAUGAAAUCAGGCAUGACAUUGUUCUAUCACUGCCCACGAACCGAUGAGCUGUGUGCUAGCAAUAUUAAGCAGUCCUCACAGUGCAUAGAUCAGCUGUGGUACAAUUUAUUGCAAGUGCAACCAAUCUUGAAACUGGCAUCAGCAUUGUUGCCAUACUUGGCAAGCGAAGCCUCGCACCACAUUGGCUUGUACCAGCCAUGACUAGGGUUGUCAAUCAUCCCAAACUUUGCAGGACUGACCUGGAUUUCACUAAACAGUUCUCAAGCUCCAAUUUAAGCGUUUUAGGGCAACUGUGUCUCUCAGACUGCAGCCUAGUUGGACAAAAAGCUGCAUGUACAGGGUGUUUCAGAAAUGUCAGUCGAAGUCAGUUUGAAAAUAUUUUUUAACCUGAUGAGUCAGAUGAUCAAUCGUAAUGUGAGGCUUGAAGCCCAUCAUCCUAAGAUCUUAUAACUGCCAGCACACUUGAAAAACGCCGAUGCUAUUAAUUUCUACAGGAUAUAUAUACCGCGACAGUGCUAAACCCAAUAAUGAUAUUCUGAAUUGCUUCACCAGCAUUUCUGCUGGUGUCAGCAAGCCAAUUCUGUACAGGCAUGUCUGCAAUUCCGCGAUGCUGCAUUCACACUACAUGCAGCAGCCUGUUACACCUCAUAACAUGACGCAAAGACUAAUUUUCCUUUUGCUAUAUUGGUGCACACCGCUUCACCUUUUUAAAUAUUCUCAAUUGUGAUGGUUUGUUCAGUUGUUUGUCGAAUGCACAUAGAAUUCAUAACAUGACUUGUAGACAUGCUCAACAUGCUGGCAAUCUCCCUGGGCAUGUCUUACAUAAAAGAUGCAUCUGAAAGGCAGCAGGCAGCAAAAGAAAGUGUAGGCACAAAAGCAAGGAACGCAAAAAUAAGAUACCUUUUUUUUUUUUUUUUGCAACCACUCCCGUACAUUGACUUCGAAGGGCAAGGAAUUGGUAGCU
rnacentral:lncRNA from 1 species